rnacentral:rRNA from 1 species
GACGUAGGGGGCGAGCGUUGUCCGGAAUCACUGGGCGUAAAGAGCUCGUAGGCGGGGUUGCACGUCUUGGAGUAAAUCCAUCUGCUUAACGGAUGGGUCGUCUGAGAUACGGCAGCUCUUGAGGACAGAAGAGGAAAGCAGAAUUCCGGGUGUAGCGGCGAAAUGCGUAGAUAUCCGGAGGAAUACCAGUGGCGAAGGCGGCUUUCUGGUCUGAUUCUGACGCUGAGGAGCGAAAGCCAGGGGAGCGAACGGG